AAUGAACGUUGGCGGCGUGGAUUAGGCAUGCAAGUCGAGCGAGAACCCAGCAAUGGGGGACAGCGGCGCAAGGGACAGUAAUGUGUAGAUCAUCUGCCCUCAGGCCCGGGAUAGCUGCGGGAAACUGCAGGUAAUACCGGAUAACAUCUCCGGAUCAAAGGUGUGAUUCCGCCUGAGGAUGAGUCUACAUCCUAUUAGCUAGUUGGCAGGGUAACGGCCUACCAAGGCGAUGAUGGGUAGCGGGUGUGAGAGCACGACCCGCGUCAUUGGGACUGAGACACUGCCCAGACACCUACGGGUGGCUGCAGUCGAGAAUCUUCGGCAAUGGGCGCAAGCCUGACCGAGCGACGCCGCGUGCGGGAUGAAGGCCUUCGGGUUGUAAACCGCUGUCAGAGGGGAUGAAAUGCAGGUGGGUUCUCCCAUCUGUUUGACAUAGCCUCAGAGGAAGGACGGGCUAAGUUCGUGC
rnacentral:rRNA from 1 species